rnacentral:rRNA from 1 species
UAGGUGGGAGGCUAUGAAGCUGCCACGCCAGUGGUGGUGGAGCCGACCUUGAAAUACCACCCUUGCCUUGUUAAAAUUCUAACCUUGGUCCCUUGAUCGGGAUUGGGGACAGUGCCAGGUGGGUAGUUUAACUGGGGCGGUUGCCUCCUAAAAAGUAACGGAGGCGCCCAAUGGUUCCCUCAGCGCGGUCGGUAAUCGCGCGUAGAGUGUAAAGGCAUACAGGGAGCUUGACUGCG